CCUACGGGAGGCAGCAGUGGGGAAUAUUGGACAAUGGGCGCAAGCCUGAUCCAGCCAUACCGCGUGUGUGAAGAAGGCCUUCGGGUUGUAAAGCACUUUAAGCAGGGAGAAAAAGUUAUAAGUUAAUACCUUAUAACCCUGAUGUUACCUGCAGAAUAAGCACCGGCUAAUUCCGUGCCAGCAGCCGCGGUAAUACGGAAGGUGCAAGCGUUAAUCGGAAUUACUGGGCGUAAAGCGCGCGUAGGUGGUUUGUUAAGUUGGAUGUGAAAGCCCUGGGCUUAACCUAGGAACUGCAUCCAAAACUAACUCACUAGAGUACGAUAGAGGGAGGUAGAAUUCAUAGUGUAGCGGUGGAAUGCGUAGAUAUUAUGAAGAAUACCAGUGGCGAAGGCGGCCUCCUGGAUCUGUACUGACACUGAGGUGCGAAAGCGUGGGUAGCGAACAGGAUUAGAUACCCUGGUAGUCCACGCCGUAAACGAUGACAACUAGCCGUUGGGAGACAAUGUCUUUCAGUGGCGCAGCUAACGUUUUAAGUUGUCCGCCUGGGGAGUACGGCCGCAAGGCUAAAACUCAAAGGAAUUGACGGA
rnacentral:rRNA from 1 species